UACGUAGGUGGCGAGCGUUGUCCGGAUUUACUGGGUGUAAAGGGCGUGUAGGCGGGACUGCAAGUCAGAUGUGAAAUCUGUGGGCUUAACUCACAAACUGCAUUUGAAACUGUGGUUCUUGAGUGAUGGAGAGGCAGGCGGAAUUCCGUGUGUAGCGGUGAAAUGCGUAGAUAUACGGAGGAACACCAGUGGCGAAGGCGGCCUGCUGGACAUUAACUGACGCUGAGGCGCGAAAGCCAGGGGAGCAAACGGGAUUAGA
rnacentral:rRNA from 1 species